GACGGAGGAUGCAAGUGUUAUUCCGGAAUCACUGGGCGUAAAGCGUCUGUAGGUGGUUUAAUAAGUCAACUGUUAAAUCUUGAGGCUCAACCUCAAAAUCGCAGUCGAAACUAUUAGGCUAGAGUAUAGUAGGGGUAAAGGGAAUUUCCAGUGGAGCGGUGAAAUGCGUAGAGAUUGGAAAGAACACCGAUGGCGAAGGCACUUUACUGGGCUAUUACUAACACUCAGAGACGAAAGCUAGGGUAGCAAAUAGGG
rnacentral:rRNA from 1 species